GGGGAUUAGUGGCGAACGGGUGAGUAACACGUGAGUAACCUGCCCUUAACUCUGGGAUAAGCCUGGGAAACUGGGUCUAAUACCGGAUAUGACUCCUCAUCGCAUGGUGGGGGGUGGAAAGCUUUAUUGUGGUUUUGGAUGGACUCGCGGCCUAUCAGCUUGUUGGUGAGGUAAUGGCUCACCAAGGCGACGACGGGUAGCCGGCCUGAGAGGGUGACCGGCCACACUGGGACUGAGACACGGCCCAGACUCCUACGGGAGGCAGCAGUGGGGAAUAUUGCACAAUGGGCGAAAGCCUGAUGCAGCGACGCCGCGUGAGGGAUGACGGCCUUCGGGUUGUAAACCUCUUUCAGUAGGGAAGAAGCGAAAGUGACGGUACCUGCAGAAGAAGCGCCGGCUAACUACGUGCCAGCAGCCGCGGUAAUACGUAGGGCGCAAGCGUUAUCCGGAAUUAUUGGGCGUAAAGAGCUCGUAGGCGGUUUGUCGCGUCUGCCGUGAAAGUCCGGGGCUCAACUCCGGAUCUGCGGUGGGUACGGGCAGACUAGAGUGAUGUAGGGGAGACUGGAAUUCC
rnacentral:rRNA from 1 species